AGCACUUUGAUGCCAGAGUAUUUUUUUUUUUUUUGCCACCAGCUUGAGCCAAACACUAAGUUUAUACUUUGUUCUUCGAGUUUGUGCUCAUUUUGCAGAUUUUGACAGCCUAAGCUUUGGAUCUAGAUCACUGUGUAUUGACUACGUCUCCCGAGGUUACUCUGAAUGAUCAAGCCUAUCUACGCCCUGUGGAUUUCAUAUCCUAUCUCCUGUCUUUGCUUGGAUUUGCAUCAAGCUGGCCGUUUCCUGCUCCCGUCGUCUCCUGGACCAAGCUGUAAGCGUAACCUGUCCACCCUCCAACGUAAACAUCUGAACACUGGACUCACUCCUGUCUGCUCUGAGCUCACUCAGAACUGCACCCAAGAAACCUUCUACGGACUCACCUUCGUUAAACCUGGAUCCUGAAUAUCUCUACCCCUGGCGUCCUGACCACAGCUACCUAUGAGAUUUUCAACCAUUAUGUUCCUGAUUAUCAUCUUCCAAAUAAACAACCUUUUUACUCA